GCCCGCGUGGCGAAAUUGGUAGACGCUCCUGGUUUAGGUCCAGGCGCUGCCACGGCAGCUUGGGGGUUCGAGUCCCCCCGCGGGCACCA
rnacentral:tRNA from 1 species